rnacentral:lncRNA from 1 species
CAACUGUCUCGAACUACUCCAACCAGAUCUUCGUCAUGAAGCCAUGCAUUAUCAAAAUGGAACCUCCUCUCCUUCCUACGAGGUAUCUCACUCUCAAUUGUCGAAACUAACAAUGGCUCAUGGUCCGAUGUUGGUGAAACCAACGUAGUCGUAGAAGCUUCCUGGAAUAAACAGGACCAGCAAUUAUUAGCCAUAGCACGGUCAAGUUUCUCACGGGUGAUAAUUCAGCCAAAUCUUUUUAAUAACCAAGUAAAU